UCUUGGGAUUGCUCUCGCGCAAAGUCGCUUAACUUCGGAGUUCCUACGAAACCUGAAACCAGUGAGUUCCCAAAAGACCUUGUGCUAGGUAGAGAUGAGAAUAUACAUAUAAGACUUAUAUGAUCCACUCCCCUGGGCAAGAUGGGAUGUUACACCGUACGCAUGAAGAAUGCGCCAAACAAAUACAAGAAGAGAUGGAUGAUAAGAAUAUGGAAAUGAACACUUCGAAUUACACUCCAAUGAGUAAGGCCUAUUUUGAUAGGAAAAAAAAAGAUUAUGACCUGGCGACAAUUGUUUACCUCUGACUAUACUCCUACAAUAGUGGAUGAUGAAGAUGAUGUUGAUUAUGGAUAUUAAAUUUAAGUUGUUGCAAUUUUUAAAUUUAAGUUAAUGUAGUUUUUAAAUUUAAGUUGUAGUUUUCAAAUUUAAGUUGUUGUAGUUUUUAAAUUUAAAUAAUAAAUUAUGUUUGGCCUUAUGGCCCUUUGACCCUCAGUUGGAGACAGUUUUUUGUAAUAGGGCUAAAAUGAGCCUUAUGGUCAUUUGGCAUUCGAUUAGAGAUGGUAAGAAAUAUGGCACUGCACUGUUCAUUAAAAUAUUAAUUUCUUAGAGCACUAGAGGGCUAAAAUGAGCUCUCUGGCCAUCCUUCGAUUGGAGGUGGUAAGAAAUAUGGCAUUGCAAUGUUCAUUAAAAUAUUAAUUUAUUGGAAGGUCAGAGGGCUAAAACGAACCAUCUGGCCAUCCUUCGGUUAGAGAUGACCUUAGUCCCAUAGGCAAAUGAGUCUUAUGUAGGUAAGACUCCGAGUGCACCGUUUUUUCCGUUAUACAAGAGAUAGGUUUAUUUGUAUAAAAAAAAUAUGAAUUCAAAUUUAUUCAAGGCUUAAAUUCUUGAGUGAACUGCUAUUUGACUCUUUGAAUCAUGACCCUACUUAAAAUUGACUCCCUAAUUUAUUUUUUGGUAAAUUAAUUUUCUAAACUUUCUUAAAUUAGUCAAUUAAUCCUUAUUGUCUGGUUACAUCCAUAUUCAGUCUUUUCAUAUCUAUUCUAAUAUAUUAGCAAGUUUGUAUUUAGAAAAGAAAACUAAAAAAAUUUAGAAAACCAAAUAAAACUGAACAAAAGAAAGCCUACCCCCCACCAGCCAUGAUCUCCAUAACCCAACAGGAUCCUCUUCGAUUUUUUUUGGUGAGGAUCUUGAAGAUCUGUAAAUCAUAUCCAUUCGUUCGUCGUACGUUAUGCGAUCAGUUUUUGUUAGAUACUGUUUGUAUGUAAUUUUAAAUAAAAAUAUUUAAAAUAAUUUCUGAUCGCAUGAUGUACGAUGAACAAAUAUAAUUCACGGAUCUUUAAGAUCCGGAUUCCUCCAUAACCACCACCCCCUCUUAUUUUUCUUCAUCUCUCUCUCACGCACCCAAGAUCGAGGAGUUCAUUUGAAUCAUCCAUGCAGGAAUGGGGAUUUGUGACCGUGUGAGUAGGGCUAGCAUUUUGAACCCGAUCUGUUAACCCGACCCGACCCGACCUGACCCGUUAAAACUAAUAUUUGGGUGGAUGCUUAACGGGUUGGGUUGUUACGGGUCAACCCAUUAGUCACCAGUUAAAUAACAGAUCAUUUUGGGUUAACCCUCGAAACCUAUUAACACCCAUUAGGGAGGACUUGUGUGUAAUUUCAUAGUUGGAAUAGAAAACCUAGCUCUCUGUCUGUUCACUCACAUUCGAACCCGGACUGCACGUUUCGGGGUUGCCGUUCUCUCCCUUAUCUUCUUUCUCAAAAAUCAAGGUUUCACUGAGUUCUGCCACCCUCUUUCCGGUAAGUUCCUAUUCCAUUUCACCUCUUCUUCCAUGGUGAUUACUUUU
rnacentral:lncRNA from 1 species